UACGUAGGGACCAAGCGUUGUUCGGAUUUACUGGGCGUAAAGGGCGCGUAGGCGGUAAUUCAAGUCAUCUGUGAAAUCUCCGGGCUUAACCCGGAACGGUCAGGUGAUACUGUUUUGCUAGAGUGCGGAAGGGGCAAUCGGAAUUCUCGGUGUAGCGGUGAAAUGCGUAGAUAUCGAGAGGAACACCAGAGGUGAAGACGGGUUGCUGAGCCGACACUGACGCUGACAGCGCGAAAGCCAGGGGAGCAAACGGG
rnacentral:rRNA from 1 species